rnacentral:lncRNA from 1 species
CCUCGCUCGCAGCGGCACGGGGGGGCGAUCCCUUUUCUCAGCUCGCGGUUCACCUCCGGGGACAUCGCCGGCCGCUGGGACCUCUUCUUCCGGUUCGAGAUCGCCGCUCGUUUCAUCACCGGAGGCUUACCGCUGGGCUCGACGGUCAUCGCCUCACCUCGUUGCUGGCCACCGUUUUGUCGGAUCGCAGAGUUCUCCUCGUCGGAUGGAAUCGACAUGACCUCGCCGAGCUUUAAUCACGAGACUAUCUCCCGGAUUUCUGGUUUUUCCGCCCAUUCGGGUGAAACUGGUCCGGAUCUUCUAGAAAACAAGGCCGAGGUGGAUCUCGCUCUGCUGUUCUCCCUCCGCUUUUCCUCCUGAGACCUAGCUUCGAGCGAUAUCUGAUGAAUUGUGCACGAUCUUGAGGUUCGCAAGACGGAGCUUCAAUGGAUACCGUCGGCUCCUUUCUGCAGAUCAUCGCUUUGCUGGUUCUCUUAAGACGGUGCGUUCCAGUUCACGGCUUGUUGCUUUUGUUUCCGAUUAGUCCAUAUUUGUGCGAGCAUUUGUGAGCGAAAGCGCC